rnacentral:rRNA from 1 species
AUUGAACGCUGGCGGCAGGCCUAACACAUGCAAGUCGGGCGAAUCUAGCUUGCUAGAUGAGCGGCGAACGGGUGAGUAACGCGUAGGAAUCUGCCUGGUAGUGGGGGACAACGCUCCGAAAGGGACGCUAAUACCGCAUACGCCCUACGGGGGAACGCUGGGGACCUUCGGGCCUAGCGCUAUCAGAUGAGCCUGCGUCGGAUUAGCUAGUUGGUGGGGUAAAGGCCCACCAAGGCGACGAUCCGUAACUGGUCUGAGAGGAUGAUCAGUCACACCGGAACUGAGACACGGUCCGGACUCCUACGGGAGGCAGCAGUGGGGAAUAUUGGACAAUGGGGGCAACCCUGAUCCAGCCAUGCCGCGUGUGUGAAGAAGGCCUUCGGGUUGUAAAGCACUUUAGGUCGGGAGGAAGGUUCGCUGGCUAAUAUCCAGCGGAAUUGACGUUACCGACAGAAUAAGCACCGGCUAACUCCGUGCCAGCAGCCGCGGUAACAC